GGGUUGUGAGGUUAAGCGACUAAGCGUACACGGUGGAUGCCCUGGCAGUCAGAGGCGAUGAAGGACGUGCUAAUCUGCGAUAAGCGCCGGUAAGGUGAUAUGAACCGUUAUAACCGGCGAUUUCCGAAUGGGGAAACCCAGUGUGACUCGUCACACUAUCAUUAACUGAAUCCAUAGGUUAAUGAGGCGAACCGGGGGAACUGAAACAUCUAAGUACCCCGAGGAAAAGAAAUCAACCGAGAUUCCCCCAGUAGCGGCGAGCGAACGGGGAGGAGCCCAGAGCCUGAAUCAGCAUGUGUGUUAGUGGAAGCGUCUGGAAAGGCGCGCGAUACAGGGUGACAGCCCCGUACACAAAAGCGCAUGUGCUGUGAGCUCGAUGAGUAGGGCGGGACACGUGGUAUCCUGUCUGAAUAUGGGGGGACCAUCCUCCAAGGCUAAAUACUCCUGACUGACCGAUAGUGAACCAGUACCGUGAGGGAAAGGCGAAAAGAACCCCGGCGAGGGGAGUGAAAAAGAACCUGAAACCGUGUACGUACAAGCAGUGGGAGCACCCUUUGGGGUGUGACUGCGUACCUUUUGUAUAAUGGGUCAGCGACUUAUAUUCUGUAGCAAGGUUAACCGAAUAGGGGAGCCGGAGGGAAACCGAGUCUUAACCGGGCGUUAAGUUGCAGGGUAUAGACCCGAAACCCGGUGAUCUAGCCAUGGGCAGGUUGAAGGUUGGGUAACACUAACUGGAGGACCGAACCGACUAAUGUUGAAAAAUUAGCGGAUGACCUGUGGCUGGGGGUGAAAGGCCAAUCAAACCGGGAGAUAGCUGGUUCUCCCCGAAAGCUAUUUAGGUAGCGCCUCGUGAAUUCAUCUCCGGGGGUAGAGCACUGUUUCGGCUAGGGGGCCAUCCCGGCUUACCAACCCGAUGCAAACUGCGAAUACCGGAGAAUGUUAUCACGGGAGACACACGGCGGGUGCUAACGUCCGUCGUGAAGAGGGAAACAACCCAGACCGCCAGCUAAGGUCCCAAAGUCAUGGUUAAGUGGGAAACGAUGUGGGAAGGCCCAGACAGCCAGGAUGUUGGCUUAGAAGCAGCCAUCAUUUAAAGAAAGCGUAAUAGCUCACUGGUCGAGUCGGCCUGCGCGGAAGAUGUAACGGGGCUAAACCAUGCACCGAAGCUGCGGCAGCGACGCUGAUGCGUUGUUGGGUAGGGGAGCGUUCUGUAAGCCUGCGAAGGUGGCCUGUGAGGGUUGCUGGAGGUAUCAGAAGUGCGAAUGCUGACAUAAGUAACGAUAAAGCGGGUGAAAAGCCCGCUCGCCGGAAGACCAAGGGUUCCUGUCCAACGUUAAUCGGGGCAGGGUGAGUCGACCCCUAAGGCGAGGCCGAAAGGCGUAGUCGAUGGGAAACGGGUUAAUAUUCCCGUACUUGGUGUUACUGCGAAGGGGGGACGGAGAAGGCUAUGUUGGCCGGGCGACGGUUGUCCCGGUUUAAGCGUGUAGGUGUGUGUUCCAGGUAAAUCCGGUUCACUUUAACACUGAGGCGUGAUGACGAGGCACUACGGUGCUGAAGCAACAAAUGCCCUGCUUCCAGGAAAAGCCUCUAAGCAUCAGGUAACAUCAAAUCGUACCCCAAACCGACACAGGUGGUCAGGUAGAGAAUACCAAGGCGCUUGAGAGAACUCGGGUGAAGGAACUAGGCAAAAUGGUGCCGUAACUUCGGGAGAAGGCACGCUGACACGUAGGUGAAGUGAUUUACUCAUGGAGCUGAAGUCAGUCGAAGAUACCAGCUGGCUGCAACUGUUUAUUAAAAACACAGCACUGUGCAAACACGAAAGUGGACGUAUACGGUGUGACGCCUGCCCGGUGCCGGAAGGUUAAUUGAUGGGGUCAGCGCAAGCGAAGCUCCUGAUCGAAGCCCCGGUAAACGGCGGCCGUAACUAUAACGGUCCUAAGGUAGCGAAAUUCCUUGUCGGGUAAGUUCCGACCUGCACGAAUGGCGUAAUGAUGGCCAGGCUGUCUCCACCCGAGACUCAGUGAAAUUGAACUCGCUGUGAAGAUGCAGUGUACCCGCGGCAAGACGGAAAGACCCCGUGAACCUUUACUAUAGCUUGACACUGAACAUUGAGCCUUGAUGUGUAGGAUAGGUGGGAGGCUUUGAAGUGUGGACGCCAGUCUGCAUGGAGCCGACCUUGAAAUACCACCCUUUAAUGUUUGAUGUUCUAACGUGGACCCGUGAUCCGGGUUGCGGACAGUGUCUGGUGGGUAGUUUGACUGGGGCGGUCUCCUCCUAAAGAGUAACGGAGGAGCACGAAGGUUGGCUAAUCCUGGUCGGACAUCAGGAGGUUAGUGCAAUGGCAUAAGCCAGCUUGACUGCGAGCGUGACGGCGCGAGCAGGUGCGAAAGCAGGUCAUAGUGAUCCGGUGGUUCUGAAUGGAAGGGCCAUCGCUCAACGGAUAAAAGGUACUCCGGGGAUAACAGGCUGAUACCGCCCAAGAGUUCAUAUCGACGGCGGUGUUUGGCACCUCGAUGUCGGCUCAUCACAUCCUGGGGCUGAAGUAGGUCCCAAGGGUAUGGCUGUUCGCCAUUUAAAGUGGUACGCGAGCUGGGUUUAGAACGUCGUGAGACAGUUCGGUCCCUAUCUGCCGUGGGCGCUGGAGAACUGAGGGGGGCUGCUCCUAGUACGAGAGGACCGGAGUGGACGCAUCACUGGUGUUCGGGUUGUCAUGCCAAUGGCACUGCCCGGUAGCUAAAUGCGGAAGAGAUAAGUGCUGAAAGCAUCUAAGCACGAAACUUGCCCCGAGAUGAGUUCUCCCUGAGACUUAGAGUCUCCUGAAGGAACGUUGAAGACGACGACGUUGAUAGGCCGGGUGUGUAAGCGCAGCGAUGCGUUGAGCUAACCGGUACUAAUGAACCGUGAGGCUUAACCUUACAACGCCGAAG
rnacentral:rRNA from 1 species